rnacentral:rRNA from 1 species
GGUAGGUGGGGGCAAGGGGGGGGGGUAAUAGGGAGGGGGCCAGUGUUGUUCGGAAUGACGGGGGGGAGAGAGGGCGCAGGCGGUUUAGUAAGUCUGAUGGGAAAUCCCUAGGCUUAACUUGGGGGGUGCAGUGGAAACUAGGAAAGUAGGGUGUGGGAGAGGGUGGUGGAAUUCCAGGUGUAGCGGUGAAAUGCGUAGAUAUCAGGAGGAACACCAGUGGCGAAGGCGACCACCUGGACCAUAACUGACGCUGAGGCACGAAAGCGUGGGGAGCAAACAGGAUUAGAUACCCUAGUAGUC